UGGAUGAUGUGGUUUAAUUCGAUGCAACGCGAAAACCUUACCACCUUUGACAUGUACGGAAUCCUUUAGAGAUAGAGGAGUGCUCGAAAGAGAGCCGUAACACAGGUGCUGCAUGGCUGUCGUCAGCUCGUGUCGUGAGAUGUUGGGUUAAGUCCCGCAACGAGCGCAACCCUUGUCAUUAGUUGCUACGAAAGGGCACUCUAAUGAGACUGCCGGUGACAAACCGGAGGAAGGUGGGGAUGGCGUCAAGUCCUCAUGGCCCUAUAGGUGGGGCUACACACGUCAUACAAUGGCUGGUACAAAGGGUUGCCAACCCGCGAGGGGGAGCCAAUCCCAUAAAGCCAGUCGUAGUCCGGAUCGCAGUCUGCAACUCGACUGCGUGAAGUCGGAAUCGCUAGUAAUCGUGGAUCAGCAUGUCACGGUGAAUACGUUCCCGGGUCUU
rnacentral:rRNA from 1 species